GCGCGGAGACCCUGGGGGCAGCCCCCCCCCCACACGUGCCACCCUGGCAGCGCAGUCCUUGCAGCCCGAGGGCUGAGUGCCGAGGUGGCGCGCUCUGGCCCGGGGGCCCCGCUUCCUGCCCAGAUACGGAUUCUGACAGGAUCUGGGAGCCGGAUGAGAAUAAGUUACUGAAUCAUUCAUGACAUCUUUCCAGGAAGAGAUGAGAGCACAGCGUGGACAUGAGUUUCAGCUAUCUGGCAAGUGCUGGGUACACAUAGAUGAACUAUGUGUCUGGGAGUCCUCUGAAUGUCCGCUGAUUCCACGCCAGACCCCGGACCUGGGCCAUUUCAGAAUACCAAGGAAAACAACAUGCCCCUGAGGACCUUUGAUUUGUGGAGAUCGGACCCGCCUGAGUCUGCCAGGACAUGGUGAUUGCAAGCAGCAGAGGGCUGGUAUGAGCUGACAAGGAACGCGGGUGGCUGGACCUCCUCCAGAGGAUUGUCAUAAGGGAGACGGAUUCCUGCUGUAAGAGCAUUUUUCAUUUAAAUUCUCGGAUCUGCAGAAGGCAGUAAUGCACACAUUACGCCUGAAGCAAAGACUAGCGCCUAUUAAUGAAAAAGGGUGAACAAAGACUCGCCCUAUGUUGCAAAUGUUUUUUUCUUCUCACAUGACAGCAAUUCUAGUCUCCUUUGGUAGCUCGCUAUCUCUGUUCAUUUCUUUACACUUCACCAACAAGAGGAAGUGUGUGUGUGUGUGUGUGUGUGUGUGUGUGCGCGCGCGCGCGCGCGCACGCAUUAGGGCUUAUAGGUUUCCAAAUUAUUAUGCAUCUGGUUCUUAAAACAAUUUGAGAUACUUCUUAUAUCUCAGAUUUCAUCACAUUCAGGACUUACCUUUGCACAGAAGAAUUUUGGAUCUCCAGUACUUGGCUUUUUCUUAGCUGGGCGUAAUUUAUUCUUGCUCUGAUGUAAUGAGUUCUCACUCAUCUUUGAAACCCCUUGCUUACCCCAUUAUAUAUUGGUAAGUGCUUCAUACUCACUAGAAGACAUAAAUAUUCAUUGAAUAAAUCCUAAACUUCUAUUAAGCACUCUUUUUACAUAAUGUACCUGGCCACAGGGGUUGGCAAACUUUUCUGGAAAGGGCCAAAUAGUAAUUAUUCUGGGAGUUAUGAGCCAAGAGGCAAAAAUGGGUGUAUUAUGUGGACCCUUACUUAGCCAUUAAAAAUGCAACCGUUUAAAAAAAUGUAGCAACUACCCUUAUCUCACACCAUAUGCAAAAGUGAAGCCAAAAUGAACCAAAGACUUAAAUAUAAGAGCUAAAACCAUGAAACUUUUAGAAGAAAACCUGGAAGUACCACUUCAUGACCUUGGAUUAGGUGAUGGCCUCUUACAUAACACCAAAAGCAAGUGCAACAAAAGAAAAAAUAAGUGAGGGGUGCCUGGGUGGCUCAGUGGGUUAAAGCCUCUGCCUUCGGCUCAGGUCAUGAUCGCAGGGUGUUGGGAUUGAGCCCCACAUCGGGCUUUCUGCUUAGCAGGGAGCCUGCUUCCUCCUCUCUCUCUCUGCCUGCCUCUCUGCCUACUUGUAAUCUCUGUCUGUCAUAUAAAAUAAAUAAAAUCUUAAAAAAAAAAAGAAAAGAAAAGAAAAAAUAAGUGAAUUGGGGGGGGAGAAAAGGAAAGAAAAAAAAAUAGAUAAAUUAGGUUUCACCAAACUGAAAACUUUAAUGCAUCAAAGGAAACUGUUACGAAUGUAAAAUGGUGACCUACAGAAUGGAAGAAAAUAUUUGCGCAUCCUGUGUCUGAUAAGGGUUUAAUAGCUAGAAUAAAGACCUCCUGCGAGUCAACAACCAAAAGACAAAUCAUCGAAGUAG